rnacentral:rRNA from 1 species
AGCCGCAAUUAGUGCUAAGGUAGCAUAAUCACUUGUUCUUUAAAUAAGGACUAGAACAAAAGAUUUAACAUCUUAAUAAAUUUCUUUAAUUUACAAAUUAAAUUUAUCUAAAAUGUAAAAAGACAAUUAUUUUACAGAAAGACGACAAGACCCUAUUGAACUUUAUUUCAAUUAAACUGGGGCAGUUAAUUAAUUAUAAUUUUAAUUUAAAUAUAGAAUAAAAGAUCCAAUUUUUUUUUUGAUAAAUCAGUUACCAUAGGGAUAACAGUGCAAUUAUUCUUUAGAGUUCCUAUCUAAAAAAUAGAUUACAACCUCGAUGUUGAAUUAACAACCUAUUUAAAGCAAUAUUUAUAAAAGGAAGUCUGUUCGACUUUUAAAAAGUUACAUGAUUUGAGUUCAGACCGGUAUAAGCCAGGUCGGUUUCUAUCUUCUUAAAAACUUUUUACAGUACGAAAGGACCUAAAAAUAUUGAUUAUUUCAAAAUCUUAUUGGCAGAUAAAUGCAUUAGAAUUAGAAUCUAAUAAAAUAUA